rnacentral:rRNA from 1 species
UACGGAGGAUCCGAGCGUUAUCCGGAAUUAUUGGGUUUAAAGGGUGCGUAGGCGGCACUUUAAGUCAGGGGUGAAAUACGGUGGCUCAACCAUCGCAGUGCCCUUGAUACUGAAGUGCUUGAAUGUGGCCGAAGGAGGCGGAACGGGACAAGUAGCGGUGAAAUGCAUAGAUAUGUCCCAGAACCCCGAUUGCGAAGGCAGCUUCCUAGCCCAUUAUUGACGCUGAUGCACGAAAGCGUGGGGAUCGAACAGG